ACGACCACUGCAAACUGAACGCUUCUUCUUCCUCCGCCACUCCACGCACAGUAACGCCACCGCAAUCACUCCCGGCGCCAUGACUCCGCCCCUGCCCCUUCCGUUUUUCCCCAAUCAAGGGCUCUACUUCAAUCCCCUGCAUUUCCCCAUAUUUAAAUCUCCUCUCCCCCUGCAGCUAGUUCUUUUCUCCUCCCCUCUACAAGCAGAUCCUGCCACAACCUAGGGCACCGUCGACGCCAGUCCUUUCGUCCGUCGCUGGACAGGUAAUCACCGUCCUCUGGAUCGCUGCAGUGCUCCCGUUUCAUUUUUGUCAUCACCCUACACACACGAUUAUCCUAUCUCCGGCGAACACCUACACCUGAACUCACCUCUCUUCUUUUGUAGUCAGCGACUGGGUUAGUUUAGAAGGUGUAGUCCCUGGACCUGUUUAGGAUAGGCUACAGAAGCACUUAGGGCCCUUGUGUAGCAGUACUUGUUUUGUUCACCAAGAUUAUUGGCAGCUCAAAAUCUGCAGGUGUGUUUAGUGGUAGUUUUUUUUUUUCAGUUUGGAACCGCUGUUAUUAUAUUCAUGGCAUCCUCUCUUUCUUUUUUUUCUUUCAGUCUGUACCUACAGCAUGAAGUUCAGAUUGUAUGGUGGAGCACCUGCACAUGUAGUUUAAUCCAAAUUUGGUCUCAACUGUUUUGCUAUUGCUCAAUGCUUCCAUCAAUGCAUAUUCUGUAAUUAUUUACCAUCAAGUUUCAGAUUUGUGUAGUUGGUAGAUACUUCACUGUAGGUUUCAGCAUACUAAUGUUUCUAGUUCAGUAGCACAUAUCAGGUUAGAAGCUGCAAGCUGAUUUGUUUCAUUAGCAUGAAUUUCUACAUGUAUGUAUGGAUUUUUCCUUCAUAUCCAGUGGAUGUAUAUGGCUGUUUGUGAAUCUGUUACAGUGGUUGUACAGUCUCAGUUUAUCUCCUAUGCAGCGGAUACCAUAUUGAGGAGUAGUUCGGUCGUAUAUUUUGUCUCUCUCCCUGCUGUAUGUCAACUAAUUGUUGACUAAUUGUUUAGUUGAUGCACUGUUUCAUCUAGCAUGCAUAAUUGUUCAGUUGCUGCACUAUUGUUGUUUCACAUACAUGAGCUUUUCAGUGACUAAUACAGUUAGCAGGUUGUAUGUGCUUUGGUGCUAGCAAAUUCAGUUUUACUCUACUGUACUCAAUCUGAUACAUGUCACUGUACCUCCUGUGCUAGUAGAAAUGCAGUGUUGUUAUUCUUUUAGUUACAUGCUUGCCCAGUUUGCCAUAUAGAUUCUGCUAUACUAGUGCUUGUGCUAGAAAGGCAUAAUUGUGUUUGUAGCUUCAAAAUCAUCUUUCUGCUGUUUAAAUUAUAUUAGAGAAACCCUGUUCUUCCAUGGAGCUGUGUAUCAAUUAUUGAGUUUUGCAUACUGUUUGCAUCUUGCUUAGCUGAGAAAGAAACUAGUGUUUAAAUUGUUGGAUGCUUCACAUGCUUAGAGCAGUAGCUAUUCUACUCUCUUUUCCUUAGGGUAAGAUCAUGCUUGCUGUACUCUUGAGUUCUUAGAUUAAAUUGGAGCAUACAAGCUUGUGUAUUAAGGUUAUAUGGGAGGGUAUCAUUAUAUAUACUAUGGUUAAGGACACUAGGAGGCCAGCAUAAAGGAUUCUCUAGUUCCACACUCUCUUGCUAUUCCACGACUCGGAGACACACUCUGUGUAUCACCCUAUUCAUUCCAAAUUGGUUCAUGUGUUUAUCUCGCUUUCUUUCAGACUCUUCUUUUGGAUUCUUUAUUGGAGUUGUUUAUUUAUUUGGUGGCGAUUUAUUUUUAUGACGAAUAGGGAGUGACGGGAACGACCACACCCAGGGCCACGAAGGAGAAGAACAGUACCCCGACAACGAAGGCAUGCCCCCCCCCCCCUCUCUCUUUGAUCAUAUUUAUCCUAUGUUUUCAAAUGGGCAUUGGUUAGCUAUUUUAUUGUUUUAUAAACAUGCAUGCUACUUAUUUCUUGUAGCUAGUGUGUCGAUUGACACUUGGCCAUGAUCUGCUUGUCGCCAUUCCUUUGAUACCUGGAGUCGUUUAUAUAGUAUUCUUGUAGAGUAGAAAUGCUUAGCCUUGUUCAUAUUAUUCAUUAGGAAUCACUCUUUUGCCUCUUCGAGGAUUCUAUGUGAUCUUUGGAUCGAUGAUACAUUGUUGAAAGUUGUUGUGGAUGUUGUUCCCUCUUCUUGGAAUCCCCUUCUACUCUCUCUACCUACUCUGGGUGAAACUUACCAUACAACUGGUGCGGGCGGCAGCUGGAUCAUUGGUUGAAGGAGCAAUUGUUAGCCUAUGUGGGAGCAAAUAGCCGCUCGUAGCAGAUGAGGCCUAAUAAUAAGUCUUGAAUCUGAAGAUUGUGACAACAGUGCGACCACAUGCUAUAUGGGCUCUGGCUUGGUCAAGUAAGCUAGUCAGCCUUAGGUGUCGAUGAUGCCGUACCGCAAAUGGGGUGUCACCUGAGAUGGGAGAACCCUCGGCACAGAUGGGGGGACCGGAGAUGGGGACGUACUCAUUCCGUGCGCCAGACCCGGUGGGCUCGUCACAUCUUUGGGGGAGGUAGCUAAAAGACCUCGUCAUGGUCUCUGGCUUGGUCAAGUAAGCUAGUCAGCCUUAGGUGUCGAUGAUGCCGUACGCAAAUGGGGUGUCACCUGAGAUGGGAGAACCCUCGGCACAGAUGGGGGGACCGGAGAUGGGGACGUACUCAUUCCGUGCGCCAGACCCGGUGGGCUCGUCACAUCUUUGGGGGAGGUAGCUAAAAGACCUCGUCAUGGUCUCGCUGUCGAUACACUGAGGAUUGUGUUCAUCAGUAGCGCAACUGGUUAGGCACAAGGCGAGAUCAUGUCGUGUGGGUACAACGUACAACCUCUGCAGAGUGUAAAACUAUUCGAAUAGCCGUGUCCACGGUCAUGGACGGCACAUGAUACUUUCUUGACAUACGGGACCUGUCUUCUUUCCCUUCCUUCCUCCCUCUCUAACUUCUUGCUGGAACUGAGGAUUUGGGUGAGUGGUCGAGGACCCUCACGUUGUUGGAUAAUGCUUUUGAGAUAAACUUGAUUUUAUCAAAACCGCCUUCAUCAAAAGUAUAGUUGUAUUUCAAACAAAACCGCUUUUAUGCAAAAGAAUCAUAUAGCCUUCCUUUGAAGCCAACAUGCAGUUAUCAGGGUUCCCAGAGGGGGCACGCUGAGUACGUAAUGUACUCAUUGCGAUGGUUUGUUGUUGUCGUUAUUGUACAGAGUACUAUGAAGAAGAAGACGUUGACGGCGACUACUACGGUGAACCUGAGGAGUGAGGCCUCGUGUGCUACAUCGACUGCCUGUGGCUGAGAUGGAGGCACCAUGCGUCGUUUAUUGUUUUCUGCUACUAUUUCAGACUUGUAAUAAUAAUGCCCCAAGACAUUGCUUUAUGUAAGCCGAAGGGCAUUUUACUAUUCAAACUUUGUAUUAACUUUUGAACUGUCGUGCAACG
rnacentral:lncRNA from 1 species